AAAGUCGUAACAAGGUUUCCGUAGGUGAACCUGCGGAAGGAUCAUUAAAAGGUAUCUGCCUUCUUGGCCAUAAAAAGCCAGAGAGGUAGUUCCCAGAUCAACCACAGUGCGCACAUAUUGAAUUAUUUUUUUGCUUUUGGUAGGCGUCGUUUCAAAAAAUUUAUUUUAUUUUAAUUCUUUGAACGAUUCUACCAUAAGUAAUGCCCAAUAUCAAUUUAAGCCUCAUUUUGUGACUGAAAAUUUUUUAAAUAAAAAAAUUUAAUACAACUUUCAACAACGGAUCUCUUGGCUCUC
rnacentral:misc_RNA from 1 species